rfam:Schistosoma rodhaini strain Burundi genome assembly, scaffold: SROB_scaffold0026701
GGGCCUGUGGCGCAAUGGAUAACACGCCUGACUACGGAUCAGGAGAUUCCACGUUCGAAUCCUGGCAGGCUCG